ACAUGUGGCCGACGUCGGCCUCAUAUCUGUAACAUCUAAUAAGGAUCGGCCAGGCAUAGGCGCGUGUCUUCAGUCAGAGCUCUAUCUCCAGCUCGUCGGCUUUGGGUCGGAUCACGACUGCAGGCCGAUAUGCCGCGCUUUUCUGUUUGCGCGUGACCAUUCAUCUCUGCAACCGACGAGAGAAAUGGCGACUCCGGCGACAUCUGUGGUUUUCAGGAGUGAAAAAAUAAAUCUACAACACCGGAGGGGGAAGAGCUGCUGACAGGAGUAACGUUAACUUUAGAAAAAUCAGAUUCUUCCAUGCUGAUGGCCUGCACUCUUGUCGAAGAAAAUCUCAGGCUAAAAACCAUAUAACCAGGUCUCUGGGAUCCCCAGCUGAAGGCAUGAAGACAUCAGAUAUUGGCCUGGACAGAUGUACCAACAGUACACCACACUGACCUCUGCUUUUGCAUGGAUGGCUGAUUACUACCAUGUUCUGAGAGGGUAUUACUAUAGCAAAACUGAGCACCUGUGACACUGGGAUUUCUAGUUGUAAAGAAUAAUCACACAAUGUUUUUUAGAAGUUGCAAACUUUUCUCUCUCUUACAAACAACACAACAGUUAAACCUUUUCAAAAUCUUUUCUGAUGGUGCACAAGUCCUAUUCUACGAAACAGAAAUUAAGAUAUUCAUAUGCUCACAUUUAAGCUGCGGACACAUUACUUUGAGCUUGCGAAAUUUCUUCGGACACUGUAACUGGCGUGAUAUGACGUCUGCAGAGUCUUUUUAUAAACAUGAAUUCAACAUUUAACAAAUAGUAUAUUCAAAAUAUAAAAAUAUAGUCUACUCGACUUUACUAAUUUUUUU